rnacentral:rRNA from 1 species
UACGACUACAUAUCAGGCAUAUCAAUAAGCGGAGGAAAAGGAACUAACUAGGAUUCCCUUAGUAACGGCGAGUGAAGCGGGAAGAGCUCAAAUUUGAAAUCUUCAAGGUUCUACCUUGACGAAUUGUAGUUUAAAGAAGUGUUUUCUGUUGGAGUUUUGGUAAAAGUUCUUUGGAAUAGGACAUCAUAGAGGGUGAGAAUCCCGUAUUUGACCAUUUCUUCCAGCUGUGUGAUACACUUUCAAAGAGUCGGAUUGUUUGGGAAUGCAGUCCAAAAUGGGUGGUAAAUUUCAUCUAAAGCUAAAUAUUGGCGAGAGACCGAUAGCGAACAAGUACCGUGAGGGAAAGAUGAAAAGAACUUUGAAAAGAGAGUUAAACAGUACGUGAAAUUGUCAAAAGGGAAGCGUUUGACACCAGUGUUGUUUUCUCGAAAAUCAAUUAAAAAGAGUUGGAUUUGUAUUGUUAAGACCUUAUCAGCUUACUGUACUUUUUUCUUGCUCUUUUUAAUGCACUUUUCGUUUAACAAGUCAACAUCAAUUUCUUUUGUUGUAAGAGGGUCAUUGGAAGGUGGCUUUCACUUCGGUGAAAGUGUUUAUAGCCUUUGGCUUCUACAAUCGGAGAGAUUGAGGUCUGCAGCGUAGAUCCUUCGGGGUUAGACACGUAGAUGCUAAGUUAUAGUUUUUUAUAGACAACUUGUUGACUAUGAUUAAUCAUGUAGCUUACUCGUUUACGCUAUUUUACCUACGCUUAGGAUGUUGAUCUCUCACAGUCGAGC